rnacentral:lncRNA from 1 species
GAUGUUUCUUUCGGCCAACAGUGGGGACUCACCUGCACGUUUUGCGAAGAGACCCACAGUCCUUUGCGUGGCGCUCGGACUACAUUUCCCAACGGCCCCUGCACGCCCUGGGGGCUGUUCCAUGCGGUGUUGCGCCUGCGUAGCCGGCGGGCUGGCAGUGAGACUGACUGCGUCGGGGUUGAGACUGGGUGGAUGAGGCUCACCCCGGCGGGGAGAAGGGACGAGGAGGGGCGGACAGCGGAAGGUCCGGGAGUGUCCGCCAUUGCGUAAUUUUUUAACUUCUAGUCAUGGUGAAUGAUCCCAGGAGAGCACAGACUGGACCCUGCUACGAUCUCUCUUGGAGUGGAUCAGACUGAUGAUCACCAACAACCAACUCAUUCCCAGAUAAGGAAGAAGAGAGUGUCACCUACUUCAGUGUGGUUUCAACCCUACUUCUGCAUCUUAAAGACACUGUAUUGUUUCAGCAGUAGUGCCCCUGUUCAUUAGUCCCCCUGAUGUUUUCAUUCCUCAUCUCAUCUUUUUCUUAGCAGCAUUCAAUGAAUCCUUCAUUCUAGAAACACUCUAUAUCUUUGGUUUUCAUGAGACCAUUCUCACCUUGUUUUGUCCUAUGACUUUUUUGAAAAAAACAAAAACAAAAAACCCUUUUUUUCUUUUUAAAUUCUGGUAAAAAACACAGUGAAAAUUUGCUAUCUUAACCAUGUUGAAAUGUGCAGUUAGUAAAGUACAUUCACAUUGUGGUGCAAGCCAUCACUACCAUCCAUCACUAGAACCCUUUUCAUCUUGCAGAUCUGAAACUCUACCCAUUAAACAACUUCCCAUCUUCCCAUCCCCACAGCUCCUAGCAACCAACAUUCUACUUUCUCUAUCAGUUUGACUACUCUAGGUACCUCAUAUGAGUAGAAUCAUACAGCAUUUAUCCUUCUUUGCCUGGCUUAUUUCACUUGUAUAAUGUCCUCAAGGUUCAUCCAUGUUGUAGCAUGCAUCAGAACUUCCUCCCCUUUUAAAGGCUGGAUAAUAUUUCAUGGUAUGUUUAGACCACAUUCUGUUUAUCCAUUCAUCCAUCAGUGAACACUUGUGCUCCUUCCAACUUUGGGCUGUUGGGUGUCCUGC